rnacentral:rRNA from 1 species
GAUGAGCUGUGGAUAGGGGUGAAAGGCUAAACAAAUCCGGAAAUAGCUGGUUCUCCCCGAAAACUAUUUAGGUAGUGCGUCUUAUAUCACUGACGGGGGUAAAGCACUGUUAUGGCUAGGGGGUCAUCGCGACUUACCAAACCAUGGCAAACUCUGAAUACCGUCAAGUGCGAGUAAGGCAGACAGACAGUGGGUGCUAACGUCCAUUGUCAAGAGGGAAACAACCCAGACCGCCAGCUAAGGUCCCCAAGACACAGUUAAGUGGGAAACGAAGUGGGAAGGCAUAGACAGCUAGGAAGUUGGCUUAGAAGCAGCCAUCCUUUAAAGAAAGCGUAAUAGCUCACUAGUCGAGUCGUCCUGCGCGGAAGAUGUAACGGGGCUCAAACUGUGCACCGAAGCUGCGGAUAUCGAAAGAUAUGGUAGG